CCUUAUUGUCAUAGCUCUCAAAAUUCUCAAUUAUAUUAAGUGUAUAAUCGAAGGUUAUAGGUUAUUGUAGUUUGUUUCAAUUAUUUGUAAUAGUGCCUAGACUUGGCACUAUUACAAAUAAUUGAGGUGCGACGGUGCAGUAUUAAGGCCAAUGCGCAAUCUAUUUAUCGUGGUGAUAAAGUCUCGGCUGGCUUCUUUCAAUAUAUUGUACCCGAGUCUAACAGGAAACUCGUCAUAGGAAUGUCCAUUGCAUUUUUAACAUCAGCAGCAUUAUUACCCUCAUAAGCGGUUUUAUCAACUAUUUCAUUGCCAGCGAUACCUCGGUGAGAAGAUUCCAGCCAUAUGUUAGAUAGUGUUGGAGAUUUUCCACUUAAGAAAUCCUCUCUUGUUGUUAGAGGCCCAGGGGUUCUGUUAAAUUUCAUAUACCAGUCCAGACGACUUUUAGUCAUGUAUUCAAAUAUUUUACCUAGACAUGAAGAUAAUGAUAUUGGUCUAUAAGAGCCGGCAAGUUUUGAAGGUUUAUCUGGUUUGAGUAUUGGAAUGACACAUUGUGUAGUCCAUUGUGCGGAAUACAUUUAGAGUGCCAAAGUAAAUUAAGAAUAUUAAGAAAGUUUUUAUGCUGAUUCAUCUAAAUUUUUAAUAAAUCUAUAGGGUAAAUUAUCGAAACCAGGUGGUUUUCCGAGAUAACAAACUCAUUUUAGAAUCACUCCAUGUAAGAGGAUCUAGUAAACAUUUGGAAUUUAGGCUGUCAUUAUUUAACUCGAUAAUAUUGCCUAAACUACCAACAUUUAAAUUGCUAUUAUCAGACAUUGUGUCUAGAAAUUCAGAAACAAAACACAUCUCUGUAUGUUUUAUUACCAGCUUUUAUACCUUUGAACAUUUUAAGGAGAUUCCAAAUCUUACUUCUGGGAGUAGUUCUAUUGAAGGUUUUACAUAAGUUAUUCCAACCUAUUCUUUUUUGUUCAGAUAUAGUUCUUUUUUUAAGUGCAUCUGUUCUUUUGUAAUCUAAAUAAUUUUCCAUAGUAGGUUCAUUUCUGUAAAGUUUCAAGGCAUUGUAAGAGGCAAUACUCUUUUUUCACAAAUGUCAUUCCACCAGGGAGCUGGAGGUCUGCUCUUAAACUUAUUUGGUUUAGUGAGUUUAGGAAUUCUCAUAUCUUUUAAAGUCUCUAAUCAGGAACAAAAAUCAUUAUGGGCUGAAAUAGGAUCAUUCAAUUUUAGUUCUAAAUCAUUAAAUAUUGUUUUGUAAAUAGUUUGAUAUUUUGUCCAAUCUGCUUUUUUAUAUAUAAACCUAUAAAUGGUGAGAUUAUUAUUUUUUAUUAUUAUUAUUUCAAUACAUAUUAUGUAGUGAAAUCUCUGUAAUUGUUGGGUAGUGAUAGCUACCCAUGGCAUCAUCAUGUAUAAACCACUCACUUAUUGAUGCGAGGUUAGCACUUAUAAAGCUAACAUCAAUUGGCCGUAGUUAUACAGAAAGAAUCCAACCCACACAGAAGUAGUUUUGAGAUAUUUAAGUUUUAAGUUGGACCCAUUUACGCAAACAAGAACCAACCCACAGCAGGUUAGUGUGCAAAAUGCAUAGAUAUUAUAAUAAUGAAUGAAUACUUUUUAAACCUAUUUGGGAUACUGUAACCUAUCUAGGAAUAUUUGAUUGAUAUAGUUUAUGUAGUUACAGUAUAAACUAAAUCUUUAAAAACCCGGUUGGUUCUUUCUUGCAAAACAUAAUUUGUUGCUUAGUUCCUUCUUGCAAAAUGGACCUAAGAUUUCUUUGUUGUGAUAUUUCUAAAAAUAAAAGUAAUUCAUUAUAAUUAUGCUACUGUUUUGUCAUUUAUUAGAUAGCGAAUCAUUUUCUUACAUGUAACUUAAAAAAAUAGUACAAUGGAAGCAAGAACUUUUAAAACUAAUCGUUACAAUUAUCGUCUUCUGCCUCAAAAUCCAUAUGACCAGUAAAACUGUCGAUAUCGUCUUCUAUGUUGUUACUUUUCAGGGUUUUGUUAAACCGUGUUGUGCAUCUUUUGGUAUAAGGUGCAGAAUACUUUUUAUACUUGCUUUGGCAGUACAUAUACUAAAAUUGGAAUGAUAUAGAGAAGAUUAGCAUAGCCCCUGCGCAAGGAUGACACGCAAAAUCGUGAAGCGUUCCACAUUUUUUUUACUGGUGGUAGGACCUCUUGUGAUUCCGCACGACUAGGCACCACCGCUCUGCCUAUUUCUGCCGCGAAGCAGUAAUGCGUUUCGGUGGGCUGUGAGCUCGUCCACCCAUCAAAGCAAUAUAAUAAAAAUCUGUUAGUUUGUUCUCAGAUAUGGCUUUACCUGUAGGCCAAAGUAAGUCCAUAUCACUUUUGGAUAUAAUAGCCCUGCUUCUGAUGUUUUUCUUACUAUUAACCUCCUUCAAGACAACGUCCAGAAUGUUUUUGAUAAAAAUGGAGUACAUUUAAUCUUUCUUAAGCAUUAUUUCUUUGGUAUCCAGCCAACUUAUUUUCGAUCCAUCUUCUGCCUUCUUUCUAUUUGUGAUUUGUGCCUCUAAAUUGCCUGACUACAAAAAGUCUUCUUUGAUAAGCCUGUGUACAAUCAUUGGUUUAAUUUUUCGUCAUUUUUUCAUUAUCUCUUAUGUAGUCUCUGGGGUAUACAAUCAUUUAUUUGAGUAAUGAAUAUCUUCAAACUUAAAUGUUU
rnacentral:lncRNA from 1 species